rfam:Virgibacillus pantothenticus strain DSM 26 super13, whole genome shotgun sequence.
GUCAACUACCCACCACUAAGUCUAUAAGACUUGAAGUGGGGGCUUGUUAAAAGCCCUAGUUGUCUAGCCUAAGGCUUAACUGACUACGUUAGAAUGUUGCAUACCGUGGGAUGAUUCCCUAGUCCCACGCUCUAUGGCGGCUCUGUAAACAGUUUCUAUGGGAAGAAGCAGUCAACCGUAAGCCAUCUCGCUUUGAGAUGUUGCCAACACAUUCUAACAUUGGCGAAGGGAAACAAAC